rnacentral:rRNA from 1 species
AUGGGGAGCCACCAGGCGCGGGCCAGGACGAGGCAGAAGGCGGGGAGGCGGACAACGCCAGCGGGAGGCAGCCGGUGCGGGGCCGCGACUCGGCGGGCGCGGAGGCUCGACGCUGCGGCGGCCCGAACGGGCCAGGCCACCCGUGCAGGGGCCAAGGGAGGCCGGAUGCGGCCGGACCAGGGCGGAAGAGGCCCGGCGGCGGGGGCCGCGGGUCUUCCGCGAAGAGGAGACGUGAGGCGGCGUCCGCGGCUGGGAAGACGCGAGGACGGGAGGAGCGCAAGCAAUGGCUGCAGGUGGUGGUGCUGCAGUGCUCGGGACACACGCGGGCGUACAGAGCAGCGUGCCAGCAGGGCCUGUAGGCAUGGGCGCGCGCGUGCGUUGUGUGGACGUUGUACGAGCAGUGUACGGGCGUUGUCCGACCACUGUAUGAUAUGGGAGCAGUGUAUGGAAUGGUUUUACGGCCAUUGGCAAGCAAUAAUGCAUGGGUUGCGUACUGGGCAAUGGCUGGCUAGUGUAUGGGAUAUAUCUGGUUCGCAUCCGACCAAUGUACAGGGAUUAUCUGGCCAGUAUCUGGCUACGGUAUGA